rnacentral:rRNA from 1 species
AGGAAUAUUGGUCAAUGGGCGUAAGCCUGAACCAGCCAAGUAGCGUGAGGGAAGACUGCCCUAUGGGUUGUAAACCUCUUUUGUGCGGGGAUAAAGUGUGGGACGUGUCCCAUAUUGCAGGUACCGCACGAAUGAGGACCGGCUAAUUCCGUGCCAGCAGCCGCGGUAAUACGGAAGGUCCGGGCGUUAUCCGGAUUUAUUGGGUUUAAAGGGAGCGCAGGCCGUCCUUUAAGCGUGCUGUGAAAUGCCGCGGCUCAACCGUGGCACUGCAGCGCGAACUGGAGGACUUGAGUACGCACGAGGUAGGCGGAAUUCGUGGUGUAGCGGUGAAAUGCUUAGAUAUCACGAAGAACUCCGAUUGCGAAGGCAGCUUACCGGAGCGCAACUGACGCUGAGGCUCGAAAGCGCGGGUAUCGAACAGGAUUAGAUACCCUGGUAGUCCGCGCGGUAAACGAUGGAUGCCCGCCGUUGGGAUUUAGAUUUCAGCGGCCAAGCGAAAGCGUUAAGCAUCCCACCUGGGGAGUACGCCGGCAACGGUGAAACUCAAAGGAAUUGACGGGGGCCCGCACAAGCGGAGGAACAUGUGGUUUAAUUCGAUGAUACGCGAGGAACCUUACCCGGGCUUGAAUUGCAGGAGAACGAUCCAGAGAUGGUGAGGCCCUUCGGGGCUCCUGUGAAGGUGCUGCAUGGUUGUCGUCAGCUCGUGCCGUGAGGUGUCGGCUCAAGUGCCAUAACGAGCGCAACCCCUGUCCAUAGUUGCCAUCAGGUCGUGCUGGGCACUCUGUGGAGACUGCCGCCGUAAGGUGUGAGGAAGGUGGGGAUGACGUCAAAUCAGCACGGCCCUUACGUCCGGGGCUACACACGCGUUACAAUGGGGCAUACAGCGAGUUGGAUGUGCGCAAGUACGUCCGGAUCAAUAAAGUGCCUCUCAGUUCGGACUGGGGUCUGCAACCCGACCCCACGAAGCUGGAUUCGCUAGUAAUCGCGCAUCAGCCAUGGCGCGGUGAAUACGUUCCCG